rnacentral:tRNA from 1 species
AUCCAGCUAGCUCAGUGGUAGAGCAAAGGUCUCCAAAACCUAAGACGGGGGUCCGAUUCCCUCACUGGAUGCCA